AUUGGUGGGUCGACCACUGGUGUACUGAUGUCUCCUGGGUAUGGCGGAUACCAAACCGCAACGCCGCCGCCUUACUACCCAAAAACAACUUACGCAACGACCAGUUACUGCACCGAGGUCUACAAUUACUACACUACUAAGGCACCGGAGUUCUAAACCACAACUUUCGCUGCCCCGAGCCACUACACUGACGUCCUGAAGUAUUAUUCUGCCCCGAGUUACUACACCACCAAGGCGACGGAGCAUGACUACGCAUACUGCCCCAUCCUACUACACCGAGGCUCCCAAAUGCCACACCUAGGCUCCCGCUGAUUACUCCACCAAAACGGUCGAGUACUACACCGAAGCGGCAAAGUACUCUGCCCCGAUCCACGCAACCACAACUGAGGCGGCCAAGUAUUACGCAGUCCCCACUUAGUACACAGAAGCUGCUCUUUCGUGCUACCUUGAACAGAAAUACUACACUGAUGCUCCAGUCUACUACACCGCGACCUACGCUACACCUAGCUACAACACCAUAGCCCCCAAUUACUACACCGACGAAGCCGCCUUUUACACAGCUACGUACGCUGCCUAGUUUACUACAUGAGGAAUUUAAGUAUUACCCUGCCCCAAACUACUAAACUGAGGUUCAUAUGUAUUACAUCAGCAAAUCUCCCGACUAGUCACCACUUACGCUACUCCGACCUAUACACCGAAGUUGUGAAGUAUUUCUCUGGAUGUGUUGAAAGAUUGCUGAAAUACAAAAUUGAUAAAUAACAAAUUCAUGUUUCUCCUUAUGUACUUUUCCUGCUGCUGAUAAUUGCAUGAUGUGAGAAAAUAUUUUUGAGUGCUAUGUAAACUUACAAUAUUGAUCUUGCAAAAUACAACAAUAAAAUUCAAA
rnacentral:lncRNA from 1 species